rnacentral:lncRNA from 1 species
UUAUAGUAUAUUUUAGUAAAUACGUCAUCGUAUUAAAGGAACUUUGUUUUCUCAUUGUUAUAAACUCUGUGCAAAUACCACUGCAUGAAGUCCACAGACAGUGAAAACCCUUAAGACAGGUGCCGAGAUAACACUCACCACUUAAUUCACCACCCUCUCACUUCUGUCACACAGACAGCUCUAAUUCUUUUCCAGUUAAUAAUGAAAAAUUUAUAUAGACACAAAUAAGGUAAGACAUCGCCACUAAAACUGCUGUUGGGACUUCAGCGAUAAGAGAAUCCAAGAGUUUAUUAAAUUUUCCUCUUUCCCUUCUAUAACCCAGAUGUCUGUAUGUAAAUGUAUUUAUGUGUGUAUAUAUAUAUGUGUGCAUAUGUAUAUAUAUGUACAUCUUACACAUCUUACUUGUAUAUACAGAAACUACACUCCUUUCAUGUAUUUUGUGCCAUAACAUCUACUGCCACAAGUAUAAAACUUCUCUUACAACUCAGUUUUUUUAAGUUUUUUUAAAUUAUUUUAAUCUUAAAGUCACUUUUAAGAAGAGUUUUAAGAUUAUUAUUAUUUUAAAGAUAUUGAAUCAAAUAAGUCUCAGUAGGCAAUAAAGAUGUAUGGCACACAAGGCAUUUAUAUUAUAAAUUUGUCACCAGUUUUGAUGAUCAGACAGUUUAGUUAAAUUUUUUUUAAUUUUAUUUCUUUUAAGAUGCAUUUAGUCUAAAAAUCCUAAAAAUGUUAUAGCAGUGUUUUUAGAAACAAAUGUGAAAACAGUCAAAUUAAGUAUAGUAUUUACAAAUGUACAGGGCCCUACAGAUCUACAUUGAUAGGAAAUAAAUGUUAUAUUUUAUUAUUUUUGCCAAAAUAUUAUUUUAUUAUAAAAUUUGACCAAAAUAUUUAAAAUUUACAAUGCUUCUAUCUUAAAUAUGCUAAACCUAUUUCUGUCUGUUUCAUGGUAUAUCUUUUCUGAUUCAUAAUUACAAAAAAAAAAACUUGAAAAAAUACUUGAUUUUUUUUAGCCAAUGAGACUGGCAGUAGAAUAAGUGUUUAAGGGACAGUUACAUACUAUUCAGCUCAAAUUUAUUUUAGGUUAGAACCAGAAAUUACCAUUUUUAUGUAAUGAAAUAUGGAAAACUAUUAGGAAUUGAAAAGUCAAAGCAAAGAAAUGAAGGGCUGGUAAAUGAAUUUUGUAAUGUCCUCAGGAUACUUUUAUUAUAAAAGUGUAUUGUCAAAGGUUUUGUAAUUGUAUUUCAUAUUUUAAAUAUAGUGAGCAAGUUACAGUGAAAACACUGUCAUUAUAGAGAGUUUAUAUGCACAGAGUAACCUGUACCUGUAAAUUGUGCAAUAGCAAUAUAUGACGAUUUUGCCAUGGAGAAAUCUGUGACAACAUUGCAAACAAUAUUUUUCUUUGUAGCUAAGUUAUUUUUUAGUAAUCUCUUCACAAAUCAAGAUUCAGAAGGCUUUAAACACUUUCAAUAAGAAAGGAAAUUUACUAUUGUGUUUAUUAAAAUCAAAAAGCUUUGGGGAUGAACUAUUGAGCAUUUUAAUUGAGAGUUUAUAUGAAUACCACAUAUUAUGUAAGCCCGUAUGUAUUUACAUCCAGAGUCAUAUUUUAAAUAAACAAUCAUGCAGUGAUUUUUUUUCGCAUGCUUUUGUUUUAAGAAAUACUUCUGCCAGUUUAGUUGAUUUUAAGUAUGGGACUUUUAAAUUCAGAAUUUCUAUAUGUGAUGAUUGAAGAGAUAAUUUAAUUUCCUCAAAUACCUUCUUGUUCUUUUCUGCAAUAUUUUUUACUUAAUGGGUAAGCAUUAAAUAAUUGGAAUGUGUAUAUAAGAUAAUACACAUACACUUAAAUUUCAUUAUUCACACAAAUGAAAUGAUUACAUCAAAAUAUACUUAAAUGCUCAGUUUUUAUAGAGUGGCUCUGUUACAGAAAUUUGUGAAAUGGCAGAUCUCAUGUUCUAAAAUACAGGAUUUCUUUUACCAUUAUGAAACACUUCUCUUAACCUUUGGUCCCACUGUUUGCUUUUAGAUGAGAUAAAACAUUUGCUGUUGUGCUCACCAGAACUUUAAAGGGACUGGGUGUAAACUAACUAGGCAUUUAACCCUUACCUAUAUUCUUUUGUUAAAAAUAAGGUUUGUUUGUUUUUUAAAGCAGCAGAAAUGUUCAAAUGGAUCUCCUUGACUAAAACAAUAUAAUUAUACAUUUCAGGAAAUGCUUUGUACAGUUUGAAAGUGGAAAUGUUAUUAUUACCAGGCUAGAAACCUAGGCAGACUAUGUUACUAAACAAGAAUUCAAAUAUCUUAAGAGACAGAACCACGGCCAGUUCUGCCAAGUAGACUGCAAGAAAUAUUUGUGAACUGGUGUGUAAGUGUUCCUGUAUAUGGUAUAACUUUUAGGUUAUUAGAAAAAUGUCAAACUGAAUAACAGAGCAGCACAUUAAAAGUGAACAAAGUAUAAAAUGUCUAAAUAAAAUAGUGUAGUCUCACAAG